rnacentral:lncRNA from 1 species
UUUUAAUUUAAUGUUGCCUCACUUAACAUUGUUUUUCUAUUAUGUUGCAAGCAAAAAAACUAAAUUAAUUAAUUAAAAAAUGGACAUUUUUAAAGCAGCAGAAUGGAAUAAAGUCCUAUUUUCUUACAUGUCCUGCAUAACAGACAGCAAAUGUGUUGGAAACCUAUAGCAGUAGUUGUAGAAAACCAGGUAACCACAUUUUAUAUGAGCGCUAACUCAAAUAUAUAAUAUUAUCUAUGAAUACUAUGUUAAACUAUAUUGCAGUAGGACAGUUGAUCAAAUUUGCCACAUGGAAACACUUUGACUUUCUAACCAGAGGAUCUAGGAUCGAAUUAAGAUCCUGUCACUUGGAAAAUUUGAGGGGUCUGUGCUCAGAUUGUCUAGUACCUUCCUCUACAACAAUGAUUUUCAACCAAUUGUGUUAUGAGAGGAUCCUAGGUGUGCUGCGAAAAUUUUUAAAGAUCCAUAGAUACUCAUAGUUCUUUACUGCUUUCUUACUACUUACAA